rnacentral:piRNA from 1 species
UGGCUGGAAAAUUCCACUACCUUAUCUACUC